GGUUAAGCGACUAAGCGUACACGGUGGAUGCCCUGGCAGUCAGAGGCGAUGAAGGACGUGCUAAUCUGCGAUAAGCGUCGGUAAGGUGAUAUGAACCGUUAUAACCGGCGAUUUCCGAAUGGGGAAACCCAGUGUGAUUCGUCACACUAUCAUUAACUGAAUCCAUAGGUUAAUGAGGCGAACCGGGGGAACUGAAACAUCUAAGUACCCCGAGGAAAAGAAAUCAACCGAGAUUCCCCCAGUAGCGGCGAGCGAACGGGGAGCAGCCCAGAGCCUGAAUCAGUGUGUGUGUUAGUGGAAGCGUCUGGAAAGGCGUGCGAUACAGGGUGACAGCCCCGUACACAAAAAUGCACAUGCUGUGAGCUCGAUGAGUAGGGCGGGACACGUGGUAUCCUGUCUGAAUAUGGGGGGACCAUCCUCCAAGGCUAAAUACUCCUGACUGACCGAUAGUGAACCAGUACCGUGAGGGAAAGGCGAAAAGAACCCCGGCGAGGGGAGUGAAAAAGAACCUGAAACCGUGUACGUACAAGCAGUGGGAGCACAGAGCAAUCUGUGUGACUGCGUACCUUUUGUAUAAUGGGUCAGCGACUUAUAUUCUGUAGCAAGGUUAACCGAAUAGGGGAGCCGAAGGGAAACCGAGUCUUAACUGGGCGUUAAGUUGCAGGGUAUAGACCCGAAACCCGGUGAUCUAGCCAUGGGCAGGUUGAAGGUUGGGUAACACUAACUGGAGGACCGAACCGACUAAUGUUGAAAAAUUAGCGGAUGACUUGUGGCUGGGGGUGAAAGGCCAAUCAAACCGGGAGAUAGCUGGUUCUCCCCGAAAGCUAUUUAGGUAGCGCCUCGUGAAUUCAUCUCCGGGGGUAGAGCACUGUUUCGGCAAGGGGGUCAUCCCGACUUACCAACCCGAUGCAAACUGCGAAUACCGGAGAAUGUUAUCACGGGAGACACACGGCGGGUGCUAACGUCCGUCGUGAAGAGGGAAACAACCCAGACCGCCAGCUAAGGUCCCAAAGUCAUGGUUAAGUGGGAAACGAUGUGGGAAGGCCCAGACAGCCAGGAUGUUGGCUUAGAAGCAGCCAUCAUUUAAAGAAAGCGUAAUAGCUCACUGGUCGAGUCGGCCUGCGCGGAAGAUGUAACGGGGCUAAACCAUGCACCGAAGCUGCGGCAGCGACGCUUAUGCGUUGUUGGGUAGGGGAGCGUUCUGUAAGCCUGCGAAGGUGUGCUGUGAGGCAUGCUGGAGGUAUCAGAAGUGCGAAUGCUGACAUAAGUAACGAUAAAGCGGGUGAAAAGCCCGCUCGCCGGAAGACCAAGGGUUCCUGUCCAACGUUAAUCGGGGCAGGGUGAGUCGACCCCUAAGGCGAGGCCGAAAGGCGUAGUCGAUGGGAAACAGGUUAAUAUUCCUGUACUUGGUGUUACUGCGAAGGGGGACGGAGAAGGCUAUGUUGGCCGGGCGACGGUUGUCCCGGUUUAAGCGUGUAGGCUGGUUUUCCAGGCAAAUCCGGAAAACUAAGGCUGAGGCGUGAUGACGAGGCACUACGGUGCUGAAGCAACAAAUGCCCUGCUUCCAGGAAAAGCCUCUAAGCAUCAGGUAACAUCAAAUCGUACCCCAAACCGACACAGGUGGUCAGGUAGAGAAUACCAAGGCGCUUGAGAGAACUCGGGUGAAGGAACUAGGCAAAAUGGUGCCGUAACUUCGGGAGAAGGCACGCUGAUAUGUAGGUGAAGUCCCUCGCGGAUGGAGCUGAAAUCAGUCGAAGAUACCAGCUGGCUGCAACUGUUUAUUAAAAACACAGCACUGUGCAAACACGAAAGUGGACGUAUACGGUGUGACGCCUGCCCGGUGCCGGAAGGUUAAUUGAUGGGGUUAGCGCAAGCGAAGCUCUUGAUCGAAGCCCCGGUAAACGGCGGCCGUAACUAUAACGGUCCUAAGGUAGCGAAAUUCCUUGUCGGGUAAGUUCCGACCUGCACGAAUGGCGUAAUGAUGGCCAGGCUGUCUCCACCCGAGACUCAGUGAAAUUGAACUCGCUGUGAAGAUGCAGUGUACCCGCGGCAAGACGGAAAGACCCCGUGAACCUUUACUAUAGCUUGACACUGAACAUUGAGCCUUGAUGUGUAGGAUAGGUGGGAGGCUUUGAAGUGUGGACGCCAGUCUGCAUGGAGCCGACCUUGAAAUACCACCCUUUAAUGUUUGAUGUUCUAACGUUGACCCGUGAUCCGGGUUGCGGACAGUGUCUGGUGGGUAGUUUGACUGGGGCGGUCUCCUCCUAAAGAGUAACGGAGGAGCACGAAGGUUGGCUAAUCCUGGUCGGACAUCAGGAGGUUAGUGCAAUGGCAUAAGCCAGCUUGACUGCGAGCGUGACGGCGCGAGCAGGUGCGAAAGCAGGUCAUAGUGAUCCGGUGGUUCUGAAUGGAAGGGCCAUCGCUCAACGGAUAAAAGGUACUCCGGGGAUAACAGGCUGAUACCGCCCAAGAGUUCAUAUCGACGGCGGUGUUUGGCACCUCGAUGUCGGCUCAUCACAUCCUGGGGCUGAAGUAGGUCCCAAGGGUAUGGCUGUUCGCCAUUUAAAGUGGUACGCGAGCUGGGUUUAGAACGUCGUGAGACAGUUCGGUCCCUAUCUGCCGUGGGCGCUGGAGAACUGAGGGGGGCUGCUCCUAGUACGAGAGGACCGGAGUGGACGCAUCACUGGUGUUCGGGUUGUCAUGCCAAUGGCACUGCCCGGUAGCUAAAUGCGGAAGAGAUAAGUGCUGAAAGCAUCUAAGCACGAAACUUGCCCCGAGAUGAGUUCUCCCUGACUCCUUGAGAGUCCUGAAGGAACGUUGAAGACGACGACGUUGAUAGGCCGGGUGUGUAAGCGCAGCGAUGCGUUGAGCUAACCGGUACUAAUGAACCGUGAGGCUUAACCUU
rnacentral:rRNA from 1 species